UGCUGCAGCUAACGCAUUAAGCACUCCGCCUGGGGAGUACGGUCGCAAGACUGAAACUCAAAGGAAUUGACGGGGGCCCGCACAAGCGGUGGAGCAUGUGGUUUAAUUCGAAGCAACGCGAAGAACCUUACCAGGUCUUGACAUCCUCUGACAAUCCUAGAGAUAGGACGUCCCCUUCGGGGGCAGAGUGACAGGUGGUGCAUGGUUGUCGUCAGCUCGUGUCGUGAGAUGUUGGGUUAAGUCCCGCAACGAGCGCAACCCUUGAUCUUAGUUGCCAGCAUUCAGUUGGGCACUCUAAGGUGACUGCCGGUGACAAACCGGAGGAAGGUGGGGAUGACGUCAAAUCAUCAUGCCCCUUAUGACCUGGGCUACACACGUGCUACAAUGGACAGAACAAAGGGCAGCGAAACCGCGAGGUUAAGCCAAUCCCACAAAUCUGUUCUCAGUUCGGAUCGCAGUCUGCAACUCGACUGCGUGAAGCUGGAAUCGCUAGUAAUCGCGGAUCAGCAUGCCGCGGUGAAUACGUUCCC
rnacentral:rRNA from 1 species